rnacentral:rRNA from 1 species
GAUGAACGCUGGCGGCAUGCUUAACACAUGCCAGUCGAACGGGAAGUGGUGUUUCCAGUGGCGAACGGGUGAGUAACGCGUAAGAACCUGCCCUUGGGAGGGGAACAACAACUGGAAACGGUUGCUAAUACCCCGUAGGCUGAGGAGCAAAAGGAGAAAUCAGCCCAAGGAGGGGCUCGCGUCUGAUUAGCUAGUUGGUGAGGUAAUAGCUUACCAAGGCGAUGAUCAGUAGCUGGUCCGAGAGGAUGAUCAGCCACACUGGGACUGAGACACGGCCCAGAAUCCUACGGGAGGCAGCAGUGGGGAAUUUUCCGCAAUGGGCGAAAGACUGACGGAGCAAUGCCGCGUGGAGGUGGAAGGCCUACGGGUCGUCAACUUCUUUUCUCGGAGAAGAAACAAUGACGGUAUCUGAGGAAUAAGCAUCGGCUAACUCGGUG